AUGAUGAAAUGUGGAACAUUAGUUUAUGCCUCGGUAGUGCAAGCAGACCGCGACCUGCUAGGUAGCACCCGCCGGGUAGCACCCGCCAGGUAGCACUAGGCACUAGGUACCAGGUAGUACCUACUAGGUAGUACCUACUAGGUAGCACUAGGUACCAGGUAGCACCCGCUAGGUAGCACCUGCCAGGUAGCACUAGGCACUAGGUACCAGGUAGUACCUACUAGGUAGCACUAGGUACCAGGUAGCACCCGCUAGGUAGCACCCGCCAGGUAGCACUAGGCACUAGGUACCAGGUAGUACCUACUAGGUAGCACUAGGUACUACCUAGUGCCUUCUGUCAAUGUUACAAUAAGGUUGGUGACCUCCUUUAACCGACCCUGACCCCCGGAGGAUAAAGUCUUGAUGUGAAAGCGUAUUGUAACGGCGGAGAGUAUCCACUGUCCCUUCUUGACCCUUGCUUGGCCCUUAAUAACCAGUCAUCAGUUCAAAGAGCCCAGCUGCUAAUGAAAGGCUUGCCUUCUGCAUGUUU